AACUCUGUAAGCAUAAAAUCCUACUUAGUAUAAUCCUUGGUACAUUUUAUUUAUGUGCAUGGAAUCUAAAAAAGACUUGUCUGAAGUCAUGAAAAUGUUUUAACAGUUAGGUAUGAAGUGAUCAUAACACCUCAUCAGAAAUGCUGAGCACCUUUAACCACUCUCUGAAUAGGAAGGAUUAAAACGAACUAUGUGUUACAGCCUAGAGAUAUCAAUGAAAGCAGCUCUGUCUUCAUUGGAUGGUUUUUCUUACUUAGGAAUUCCCUCAUAUAUUCCCCCUGUAUACUUCUAAAAACAAAUGACCAGGAUUAGAAGGUUAGAAGUUAGAAUCUUCAAAGUGAAAUGUUUAAAUGAGAUAAUGUUUUCUUUUCGUAUGCCAUUAUGGAACACAUAUCAAAACUGGGCUGGUUACUUCACUGUUUGUCCUACACUAAAAUAUUGCUGCAACUCUCCACUAAGGAUCCAGUCUUGAAUGGUGUAAGCAGUCACUAAAUCCACUGAGUUCAGUGGCUGCUGAUACCAGAGCACCUUGCAAGAAGAAACUAAAAAACCUAUAGGUGAAGCAAUUUCCAGUGGGUCUGGUGGGCACAAGAGUAUGACUUUGAAUCUGUUACUUCCUGAGAAUUUCCUGGAGGUUGGGAAUGACUACAAAAUCUAUGAAUCUGGAAUAUUCAAAAUGCAGUAACUGAGAAUUAAAGCUGAAGAAAUUCUUCUGUUAUCUGGAGAUCAUUGAUCAGGCUGUGUAACCGUUUUGGUCUGCAGUUAAACUAUAAACAAAGACUCGCAUGUUUCUACUUGGGCUUUGGGUGAAAGUAGAAAAUUGUACAAUCUACAUGGUAAAUCUGAGCAAGAAGAUUUACAGAAGACAAACAUGCGUGGUAAGGAAUAAAUAUACUGACCCUGGAAGAAUUUAAUUGAAACCUGCAACAUUAUUAUUCUGGGAGCCAGGAAAUGCAAGUAGUAGAAUCUAUGGAGCCACAACUACCAAAAGGCCAUAGAGGGAGCACAACCGUAAGCAAAAUAAACUUUAACUUUUUCAGAGUCUCAUAUUAAUUCUUUUAUUAAUUUUAUCUAAAAUGAUAUAAUACAUUAAUAUUAUUUGUUAACAGUGUCUGCUAUUUAAUAUUUUUGUUGGUGCUUAAAAAGAAUCAGUGUUUUAGAAAAACUCCAUUUAGGAAGCUGCAUUAUACAUAACUUAUGUGUUCUGUAAACCUCAGGCAAAGGAAAAAAUGGAUUGGUAAAAUGUGAUAUAAAGGCUUUAUCAGCACAUAUGGGAUAUUUGCUGCAUAAGCUAUGUAGCAAAUAUGCUACAUGGCUAUGAAACCUUUCCAAACUAUGCAACCCAGAAACAUCAGUCCUAUGCUGCACUAGCAAUUCUUCUACUGCAAUAUCAAUUUUUCUCUAUACCCCCAUGCAUUAAAAACAUAUUUGUUAUAAAUUUUACAAAGGUUGAAAUCUUUAUGAUGACUGGAAGCAACUAUGUGGAAAACCGGAACAAGGAAUACAAGAUGAACAGAUGAGAACAGUACAGAUUGGUAGGGACAGGACAGAAGGGAUCUCAGCUUCGGAUAUAGGCACAAAAAUGUGUACACAUUUCUCUCUACAGCCUGGGGCAGGAGCCAAGGUUACUGAUUCUCACUACCAUUCUGCUUUCAGCGAAUAUGUUUGAAGCACACCAGCAAUGUUCCCCACCUCCUGAUGUCAGUCCAUGUAGUGUUACACCUUCUACUGCUGCUUGCUACCGCAGUAGUUUAGGUGUCCUGUAUAGGAGAUACCGUUCUUAUGGUGGCUGUUGACCUGACAGAGAACCACUAGAAUCCCACAUUAUGGUAUUCCUGCUUCUUUUCAGCUUGCUCUUUUUAAAAGCAAGGAAAUUAUACUCCCAGACCUCACACACAGAAAUAUAACAGAUGUAAAUGAAGUUCUUCACAGUUUAAAAAUUCCCAAAACAAAAUCCCUUAUGUAGCUUUGCUUGAGCUGUUUUGUGCAUAUACUAUAUCAUUUACAUGAUCGCAUCUUCCAUCUUAAGCAGUGAACAAGAACAUAAAUGAGAGCUGUAUAAAGGAUGCUGCUGUCCAUAGGACUCCUACUUCCCUGCUUUCAAAUAUAUGUGAGAAAUGCAAAGAUGUUUCAUUUCUCUCUCUGUACCAACUUCAUCAGGAUGUAGAGAUUAAGGACAAUAAAAAUAUCAGUGUGAUGGAGGAGGAGAUGGGCUGAUUAGCCAAUGAGCUUGAGACAGGGAGCAAUAUAGAAAAGUUUAUGAAGGAAAAUAGGGCAGAGUAAAUGGUCCAAGUGGAAGCUGGCACUGAUCAGUUUCAGCAGAGGAUAAAGAAUAGUCCCAUGGCUGUUCUGGAACACUGGAUUCCUGUUUUUUCUGUAGAGUUCAUGCUUUUUCACAAAGGCUCAGUCACUCAUGUAGGACUGACUUCUGAAUUCCCACAGCUCUAAGCAAAUUCAGUGGGUACUCUGGCAUUGAACAAAUACAGUAUUCUCUGCAAUCUUAAGAACUCUGACAAAUGGAGUCCUAGAAGUCUCAAGCAAUCAAAAUUAUAUGCUUAGGUUUUCUGGCUUUAACAUGGGGCUAACCCUAAUCCUGACUUAAUUCGGGGUAUAACUGCAGAUGAAAAUAAACUAAUUCCUUUAUAACCAAGAUAAAGUAUUUAGUAAACACUCAGAUGCAAUGAAGUAAUAAAUGUGUGAGUGAAUUAGUAGUUAUGUCUUGAGAGUACAGUUGAAAAAAGUGCAGUGAAUAACAGACAGGGCCUCACAUAGAAUAAUGAGGAAAACUGAAGAAAUUCAUUAGCUGCUUAUGCAGUGAUCACUGCCUUCCUUGUGCAGUGAAUUGCCUUGUUAUCCUAUGGAAAUGUAUCUGAUCAGAAAAUGAAGGACUGCCUUGUGAUGAAAAUGCAAAAGAGAGCUAAGUUAGCCUGCUUAAAAUUUUUUCAUUCACUAACUUGAAUUCACUUAACUGAGUUUUUAUGUGUUCAAAAGAUAUUAUGAUAAUUGCCAAAUAAAUAACUUAUACUAAAUGCUAAGCAAAUAAUAGAUGCUAAACCUAAAAAUAUAACUUUACAUAUGACUGAAUCUUGUUCUCUUUGCUUAGGCAAAACUUGAAAUAGGUAAAGAGAAUGGCAUGAGAGAGGAGUGGGGUCUCAAGUUUAAGUUAAUGUUUUUAAUUUCUUCCUGGAUUCUAUUAGGUAGGCUUGAUUGCAGAUGCUGAGGAAAGGCAGAGGAGAUACAGUAAUUCAGGAAUACCUUCCUAACACAAGUGGAAAUUUUAUAAAAGCCUAGAGCAGCAAUCUAUGUGCUUAAAGUAUUUUUCAUGCUGCCCCAAGAGUCUUGUCUGUGUUUUGCUUACAUAAUUACAUUUCCUUGCACAUCUACCACUUGAACCAUCCUGACCCAAAAUCCAAGUCCAAAUCUGAGAAUCUCUGGGGUUACAUGCCCGUGUCUUACUCUGCUUAUACUUACACAUUCUUCCUAAUCUCAUUUACAUUCCCUCCCCCUGCAUAUCACAAAGCCGCCUAGCAGCCUAUACCAGCAUAAUCAAACCUGAUUGAUAGUUUCAAAACACUGUUUUUGACUGGGUAGGAAAUAAAUUGUAAGUUUUGUACCUACCGUUUACAUCUAGUGACUAGAGUAGCUAAUACUAGAAAGCAGUCUUACUUCAGCAGCUUUCUCAUGCUUACAUUCUUUUCUUUCCCAUGCUUUACACUGAGGUGUGAUUAUUUUUCAGGGUAUGUACUGAACUCAAAAAAUGCUAUUUAAGGCACUCAUGUAUGGUAAAGACAGAAUACUGCUUAUCAUGGCAGUAUAAGAUAUCCAUUUAUACUUUCCCUUCCAAUUUUUUUUCCUCAUUACUUACAAGCAUCUUUCUGUGUUAACCAUAGUACCAACUCAGGAGUACCACAAUCUCAUAGCACUAACAAACACAUAUGGAGUUCCAGCUGAGCAUACAGAGCAGGAAUACAGAUCAAAGCUAAGCUUCAUGAUUCUCUAACUUUCAUUGCUUAUAAUUGCUAUUCCAAAAGAAAUGAAACAAAUUGUAAAGAAUGCAUUUUAAGUAGGGGAAUAGCUAAGUAAACACUAAAAAACAUAGUCAAAUUAGAAAAUUCAUUAAGCUGAUAACAGUGAUACGAACCUGGGGAAAAUUAUGCAAGCAUUAGGGAAAAAGAAAUUGUUUUCUCUUCCCUCCAAUCUACAUCUGAGAAACUACAGCCCUUUACUGGUUGUGUAAUCAGAAGUAUUUCAUCAGUCUGACCGCAUGAGAAUUUUCUGCUCUAACUAGUAAACUCAAAAGUUCAGAGAAAAAUUGAAUAAUAAUUCAAACUUUUAGGUGAAAUUCCAGAAGCUCUGACUUUUGUCCAUCCCUAUCGCAUAAUGAAAACACAAAAGGAAAAACUACAUCAACAGACUUAUGUAUAGAGCCAGCCUAUAUGGAAUUUCUAGAGACUUCAACGCAUGAUGCAAGUAGGAUCAGUCUCUUCUGCACCAGCUCUCCAGCAUUUCUAAUUUCUGAUGCAACUAUAUACAAUUUGCAAUCAAAUAAAUACUUAU